CCCCUCUUAGGGUUGCACUGGAGAGUUUCCAAUAUUCUAUCAGUCUCAGCUCCGGGAGGGAGAGUCAAGCAGAGGCCUACCCAUUCCAUUCCUAGCUUGGUCAGUGGCUAGUGAGUGGAAGGCAAUCUGCUUCAGAU